UUAAAUUGAAGAGUUUGAUCAUGGAUCAGAUUGAACGCUGGCGGCAGGCCUAACACAUGUAGGUCGAACGGUAACAGGAAACAGCUUGCUGUUUCGCUGACGAGUGGCGGACGGGUGAGUAAUGUCUGGGGAACUGCCUGAUGGAGGGGGAUAACUACUGGAAACGGUAGCUAAUACCGCAUAACGUCGCAAGACCAAAGAGGGGGACCUUCGGGCCUCUUGCCAUCGGAUGUGCCCAGAUGGG
rnacentral:rRNA from 1 species